AGUGAACGCUGGCGGCAGGCCUAAUACAUGCAAGUCGAACGGCAGCACAGCAGAGCUUGCUCUGUGGGUGGCGAGUGGCGGACGGGUGAGGAAUACAUGGGAAUCUGCCCAGUCGUGGGGGAUAACGUAUGGAAACGUACGCUAAUACCGCAUGCGCCCUACGGGGGAAAGCCGGGGACCGAAAGGCCUGGCGCGAUUGGAUGAGCCCAUGUUCGAUUAGCUAGUUGGCGGGGUAAAGGCCCACCAAGGCGACGAUCGAUAGCUGGUCUGAGAGGAUGAUCAGCCACACUGGAACUGAGACACGGUCCAGACUCCUACGGGAGGCAGCAGUAGGGAAUAUUGGACAAUGGGGGCAACCCUGAUCCAAGCCAUGCCGCGUGAGUGAAGAAGGCCCUCGGGUUGUAAAGCUCUUUUGUCAGGGAGCAAAACCUACAGACUAAUACUCUGUGGGGAUGAGAGUACCUGAAGAAUAAGCACCGGCUAACUACG
rnacentral:rRNA from 1 species